rnacentral:rRNA from 1 species
GACGUAGGGCGCAAGCGUUGUCCGGAUUUAUUGGGCGUAAAGAGCUUGUAGGCGGUCUGUCGCGUCUGCUGUGAAAAUCCGGGGCUCAACCCCGGACUUGCAGUGGGUACGGGCAGACUAGAGUGUGGUAGGGGAGACUGGAAUUCCUGGUGUAGCGGUGAAAUGCGCAGAUAUCAGGAGGAACACCGAUGGCGAAGGCAGGUCUCUGGGCCACUACUGACGCUGAGAAGCGAAAGCAUGGGGAGCGAACAGG